UACGGAGGGUGCGAGCGUUGUCCGGAAUCACUGGGCGUAAAGGGCGCGUAGGCGGCCUGAUAAGUAGGGGGUGAAAUCCUGUGGCUUAACCGCAGGGCUGCCUUCUAAACUGUCGGGCUAGAGCACAGUAGAGGCAGGUGGAAUUCCCGGUGUAGCGGUGGAAUGCGUAGAGAUCGGGAAGAACAUCAGUGGCGAAGGCGGCCUGCUGGGCUGUUGCUGACGCUGAGGCGCGACAGCAUGGGGAGCAAACAGG
rnacentral:rRNA from 1 species